rnacentral:rRNA from 1 species
UGCCAGCAGCCGCGGUAAUACGUAGGGUGCGAGCGUUGUCCGGAUUUAUUGGGCGUAAAGGGCUCGUAGGCGGUUUGUCGCGUCGGAAGUGAAAGCCCACUGCUUAACGGUGGGUCUGCUUUCGGUACGGGCAGACUGGAGUGUGGCAGGGGAGACUGGAAUUCCUGGUGUAGCGGUGGAAUGCGCAGAUAUCAGGAGGAACACCGGUGGCGAAGGCGGGUCUCUGGGCCAUUACUGACGCUGAGGAGCGAAAGCGUGGGGAGCGAACAGGAUUAGAUACCCUGGUAGUCCACGCUGUAAACGUUGGGCGCUAGGUGUGGGGACUGUUUCCACGGUUUCCGUGCCGUAGCUAACGCAUUAAGCGCCCCGCCUGGGGAGUACGGCCGCAAGGCUAAAACUCAAAGGAAUUGACGGGGGCCCGCACAAGA